rnacentral:rRNA from 1 species
GAUGAACGCUGGCGGCGUGCCUAAUACAUGCAAGUCGAGCGAACAGAUGAGGAGCUUGCUCCUCUGACGUUAGCGGCGGACGGGUGAGUAACACGUGGAUAACCUACCUAUAAGACUGGGAUAACUUCGGGAAACCGGAGCUAAUACCGGAUAAUAUAUUGAACCGCAUGGUUCAAUAGUGAAAGACGGUUUUGCUGUCACUUAUAGAUGGAUCCGCGCCGCAUUAGCUAGUUGGUAAGGUAACGGCUUACCAAGGCAACGAUGCGUAGCCGACCUGAGAGGGUGAUAGGCCACACUGGAACUGAGACACGGUCCAGACUCCUACGGGAGGCAGCAGUAGGGAAUCUUCCGCAAUGGGCGAAAGCCUGACGGAGCAACGCCGCGUGAGUGAUGAAGGUCUUCGCAUCGUAAAACUCUGUUAUUAGGGAAGAACAAAUGUGUAAGUAACUAUGCACGUCUUGACGGUACCUAAUCAGAAAGCCACGGCUAACUACGUG